UAGGUACUCACUCCUUCACCCACUCAACAAAUACAUGUUAAACAUGUAUGAUGCGUUCAACAUUGCUGGGCCUGGAGCAGUCAGCCAAGGUCUGCAAUGGAUUCCAGUCUCAUGAAAGGGAAACAAUACUUUUAGGCCAUGUCAUCCUGGAAGGUCAUGAGUCUGCUCCUGCCUUCAUGGUUCCAGGGUUAGCCCCAGCAGGGCAUUGCACACCAACCCCUGGUUGCAGACUAGGACUGGUCUCCAGCUGGGACGCCACAAAGAUACCUACACCAGAUGCUGUCAUCUGGAAAAAAGGGUUGGUGCUACCUAGCUGGCUGAGAUCCAGAGGCAGCAGGAAGAAGGGAAGGAGGAAACCCCCUCCCCCCGCAGUGGAGGCCAGCCAAGAGCCCCAACAAAGCUGGCAAGAACCUGCCCCACCUCAGCACGGGGGCCAUACCUUCUCCCACGCAGCAUUCAGGAGAAAGGAAAUCCAGCACCCUGAACAACACCAGAAAGGACCUCGGCAAUUGUUUCCUUGUUGGUCAGGUUGCCACUGGGGCCCAACAUUGGCUCACCUUUCCAGCAGCCUUCCCCUAACCCGUUCCUGCCAGCAGCUGCCAGCUUCCCAGGACUCAAUGGCUAGAUGCAGGGGAGCUUGGAGGAGAGACCCACUGCUCUGAGGUUGGGCGGGCAGAGGAACUCAGUGUUGAAGGAUGGACAACCAUUAAGGAUGGACAAGUUUUAGGCAGGGAAGGGG